UACGUAGGGUGCAAGCGUUGUCCGGAAUUAUUGGGCGUAAAGCGCGUGUAGGCGGCUUUGCAAGUCGGGUGUGAAAGCCCUCAGCUCAACUGAGGAAGUGCGCCCGAAACUGCAGAGCUUGAGUGCCGGAGAGGGUGGCGGAAUUCCCCAAGUAGAGGUGAAAUUCGUAGAUAUGGGGAGGAACACCGGUGGCGAAGGCGGCCACCUGGACGGUAACUGACGCUGAGACGCGAAAGCGUGGGUAGCAAACAGG
rnacentral:rRNA from 1 species